ensembl:lncRNA
AGAGCACUGCCUCCCCAUUGAUCAACAAGCUGGGGAAACGCAUGAUAAACCUGAACUGAUCAAUUGCGUCCUAGGAUUUUUGCUGGAGGGGAUGGAGCCCGGGAGCCUGGUGAGGAGACCGUCUCAGUGACUGGAGAGAGGCUGGUGGCCGUGAGGAGAAAAGACGACGAACAGAUUCUGGGUGCUUAGGGUUUGUUCCUGCAAGAACAGCAAGAAUGGUCUUGACAACACCUGCUGGUUUCCCCCUAAAGACUCUUGCCUUCCUCCCAUCGGUUUUCCAUGCUGCAGCCAAGGUGAACCCUUCAAAAGACAGGUGUGAUUGAGUCCAGCCUCUGCUUAAAACUCUACAAUGGGUUCCAC